rnacentral:rRNA from 1 species
UACGGAGGGGGCUAGCGUUGUUCGGAAUUACUGGGCGUAAAGCGCACGUAGGCGGCUUUGUAAGUUAGAGGUGAAAGCCCGGGGCUCAACUCCGGAACUUGCCUUUAAGACUGCAUCGCUAGAAUUGUGGAGAGGUAAGUGGAAUUCCGAGUGUAGAGGUGAAAUUCGUAGAUAUUCGGAAGAACACCAGUGGCGAAGGCGACUUACUGGACACAUAUUGACGCUGAGGUGCGAAAGCGUGGGGAGCAAACAGG